GUGGGGAAUAUUCCGCAAUGGACGAAAGUCUGACGGAGCAACGCCGCGUGAGUGAUGAAGGUUUUCGGACUGUAAAGCUCUGUUGUUUAGGACGAAAGUGCCUGUUGCGAACAGUUACAGGUAUUGACGGUACUAAACGAGGAAGCCACGGCUAACUACGUGCCAGCAGCCGCGGUAAUACGUAGGUGGCAAGCGUUGUCCGGAAUUAUUGGGCGUAAAGAGCAUGUAGGCGGAGAUUUAAGUCUGUUGUGAAAAUGCGGGGCUCAACCCCGUAUUGCGAUGGAAACUGAAUUUCUUGAGUGCAGGAGAGGAAAGGGGAAUUCCCAGUGUAGCGGUGAAAUGCGUAGAUAUUGGGAGGAACACCAGUGGCGAAGGCGCCUUUCUGGACUGUGUCUGACGCUGAGAUGCGAAAGCGUGGGGAUCGAACAGGAUUAGAAACCCCUGUAGUCC
rnacentral:rRNA from 1 species